UACGAGGGGGGCAAAUGUUGUUCGGAAUCACUGGGCGUAAAGGGAGCGUAGGCGGGUUUCUAAGUCAGGUGUUUAAUCCCGGGGCCCAACCCCGGACAGGCACUUGAAACUGGGAAUCUUGAAUAGUGGAGAGGUCAGUGGAAUUGGGGGUGUAGCGGUGAAAUGCGCAGAUAUCGGGAGGAACACCAAUUGCGAAGGCAGCUCGCUGGGACGUCACUGACGCUGAGACGCGAAAGCGUGGGGAGCAAACAGGG
rnacentral:rRNA from 1 species